CUUAAGUCCUGAACAAUCUAAAAUCUCAAGGUAAGUAUCAUUUAAAUUGUCCUAAUUAAUCUUAAGUAGAUCCAGUUUAGAUGCUCUGCCUAACCUGUGGUCUUUACAUGUUUGUCAAGUUUGACGGAACUCCCCUGGCCAAAUGUUUCUUGUCAAGGCGCUGAACUCAGGAAAUUUGUGCCAUAUGAAAUGGAUAACAUACUAGAACGCAGAGCGAAAGAAUACAAGCAACAUCAACUCAGGAGGAAGACAAAUGCAGAUAUUAUAAUUGCCCCAGCCAACUCUCCUCUCCAAUAUCCAAUGACAGGUUUCAGGGUAGCUCCUCUGAAGAAACGUUUGAUACCAGGUUAACUUAUAUUCCUUGUAAACGGAGUCAUGUUUAGGAGUGUUGUUUAACUGAGCGAAACCUCACUUUAUAUGCUGCUUAGAAUAUAAAAAAUGUUACAAAAGUAACUUUUCUUUUGAUCAGUGACUUUGAAACAGUGAAUUGUGUUUUUAUAUCAUCAUUUCAGGUCUUGCUCUUCAAACACAAGGGAGAGGUUUAACAGCAAACAAGAGGGAGGUGUACAAGGUUAAGCAAACAAUGCCAUUUGUGUUUUUUUUUUAUUUUUAUUUAAGGACAAUUGUAGGCAAAAGCCCUAGUACACUGUAAUUACGCUGUUUUUUUUAGUUGUAAAUACAAUAAUGUUUUACAUGAAAAUAUUAUUUCUCCUUUUCAAAUUAAAAAUUUCAUGUUCAUGAUGUAAUAACUUAUGAAAUUAGCAAUUUCUGCAUGAAAACUGUUUCUAAGCCAAUUCUUUUUUUCAGUGUAUGAGGUAUUCAUUCCCAAUACAUGCACUUUAAAAUGCUGUUUUCACCAUAAAAUCCUAUUUGAGUGUUAAAUGCAAAUUCUUAAAGCGGUGCUAUUAUGCUUUUUCUCUUUUGGACUCGUUUGGACUACAACGCAUUUCCGGGAUUAGUGAUAUAAAAAGAUCGACGAAUGGGACGAGACCUGGUUGAGCUGCACUAGAGAAGGCUAUGAGUGUUAUUAUCACUAUGUCGAAAACAUGCUAGUGUUCCCAAAACAGACGAGUUUAGAGUGGUUACAAUCAUCCGGGUUUAAAUCGCUCAAAUUGAUUUGAUUUUGACGCAUUAUUUACACUGAAGCUCACAGGCUGCUAUGGUAAGGGCAUGACAUUUCCUGACCAGGCGCCGAGUGCUGCCAAUGACAACACAGCCUGGCCCAGGUAACCAAUCACAACACAGCCUGGCCCAGCUAACCAAUCACAACACAGCCUGGCCCAGCUAACCAAUCAUAACACAGCCUGGCCCAGCUAACCAAUCAAAACACAGAAUGGCCCAGCUAACCAAU
ensembl:lncRNA